rnacentral:rRNA from 1 species
GCAGGCUGAAAUUCGCCUGCAUGAAGCCGGAAUUGCUAGUAAUGGCAGGUCAGCAUACUGCCGUGAAUACGUUCCCGGGCCUUGUACACACCGCCCGUCACACCAUGAGAGUUGGGGAUACCCAAAGCCCGUGAGCCAACAUUAAAUGAGGCAGCGGUCUAAGGUAGAAUCAAUGAUUGGGGUGAAGUCGUAACAAGGUAAC